rnacentral:rRNA from 1 species
AAUUAAUAGUACCUAUUUUGAUCUAUACUAUUAAUUAAUGGAACAAUGUUAGUGGCCUAUUUUUGGUAAGCAAGAACUGGCGAUGGCGGGAUAGAACCGAAAGUUAAGUUAAAGUGCCAAAAUGUACGCUAAUGUAGAUCCCAUAAAAGGUGUUGAUUCAUUUAGACAGCAGGACGGUGGUCAUGGAAGUCGAAAUCCGCUAAGAAGUGUGUAACAACUUACCUGCCGAAUGAAUUAGCCCUGAAAAUUGAUGGCGCUCAAGCGUACUACUUAUACUCUGCCGUCAAGACACACUCUAAAAAAUGAAGUCUUGACGAGUAGGUGUGCGUGGAGGUUGCAGAGAAGCUUACCCCGUGAGGGGGAGUGUAGCAGCCUUUAGUGCAGAUCUUGGUGGUAGUAGC